rnacentral:rRNA from 1 species
GUGCCAGCCGCCGCGGUAAUACCGGCAGCUCAAGUGAUGUCCCAUAUUAUUGGGCCUAAAGCGUCCGUAGCUGGCUGCGCAAGUCCGUCGGGAAAUCCACUCGCUCAACGAGUGGGCGUCCGACGGAAACUGCACAGCUUGGGACCGGAAGGCUCGAAGGGUACGUUCGGGGUAGGAGUGAAAUCCCGUAAUCCUGGACGAACCACCGAUGGCGAAAGCACCUUGGAAGGACGGAUCCGACAGUGAGGGACGAAAGCCAGGGUCUCCAACCGGAUUAGAUACCCUAGUAGUCC